UGGGGUUCUACUUUAAAGUCGUGGUCGUGGACAAUUUGGGAUUUAUUAAGCCAUGUUUUGGGAAUUUUUGUAGUUGCUAGGCUGUGGUUCUAUGUGCUGAGGAGGGAGGCGCUGCUGCUCAUGUUGCUGUUGCUGGAGUCCUCACUUUAUUUGUUAAGACUAUGUAAUGACCGAAUGAUGUUAUUUGUUUGUGUCAUCCUUGACUCUUUACCUACCGCAUGUAAUCCUGCAAUCGGUACUAGUAAUGCUAUGGUUAUUAAAAACUGUUUACUCCUUUUUUUAGCAAUAAUCUCUGCUUAUUAGUCAAGGGGUAGUUAUCACUUGUGAUCACUCGCAUAUCUAGGUUGCCGUCUUAAUCGGGGAUCACAGGAUUUGGCAUCUGCAAUAUUUUCUGAAAUUCCUAUUCUCGUACUGAGUGAAUUUCAUGCUCCCAGACUUUGGGAAAGAAUAAAUAGUGAUGGUGAAACGUCAUCUCAUUUGUUGGAACGGAGCUCAUCAGAUCUGCUCGGUUAGCUUCGUCGCCCACUCUCUUUGCACGCGUCAUUUUGUUAGCAUCACGCAUGGGAGAGGUUACAGCUAGCGCUGCUGACCCUUCCCCCACCAUGACGCUGUGACCGACCACACCCAUGGCUUGCUGCCCCUUGCAGAACCUCGUUGGUUGCAGGCCCGUGCUGGUUGCACCAUGCAACCCUCGGAUUGCUGCCCUUUGCCGAACCUCGUUGGUUGCAGCUGGGCGUUGUGCCGAUUCCAGCUUUGGGCUGUGCUGGUUGCAGCAUCUCGUCUUGUCCCUGCAACCCUCGGAUUGCUGUCCAAUGUGGAACCUCGUUGGUUGCAGCUGGGCGUUGUGCCGAUUCCAGCUGGGCGUUGUGUUGAUUCCAGCUUGGCCUGUGUUGGUUCCAACAUCUCGGCCUGUCGCUUGCAGCUGGUUGCGGCUUGUCUUUGCAACGUUACAACAUCCCCCAUGGGGUAGCAGUGGUUCACGCGCUUUCCAGCAAAACUUUUCGCAUAGAAAAACCGGGGAAGACCAAAGAUCUUGCGCGACCAGAAAAACUGAAAAGAGAAAGAGAGGUAUGCACUGUGAAGAAAGCCCUCUGACCCACUCUUCCUUCCCCCUACCUACCCAUAAGGUAAGUAGGGGCCUCGGCAUCUCUAUUUCCCGAGAAACCUAAUAAAACUACUUCGAGAAACCUACCAAUUCGAGAAACAAUACAAACCUACUAAAAUUUUUUUACUAGCCUCCCUUUUUGGGUGGCUUCCACUACUUGUGCGAGCGAGCAAUUAUAUUUCGGAUAUCCCGGGGUUCUAAGAUCUCGAGCAGAGGAAUCGUUGCGGAUUCCUAGCAAAAUUAGUUGUUGGUUCCAGCAAAAAUUGUCGCCGGUCAAAGAAAAAAGCAGCAAUGUUGUGGAUUCCUAGUUCCAGCAAAAAAUGUCACCUUUCAUAGCAAAAUACAUCGUCUAUAACAACAAAAAGCACCAUCGUGAGAUUGACCUGGGCCUCUUGGGUGUUUAAGCCAGGCACAUGUUGAUCCCUUUAACAUAAGGGGUAAGAGUCUGACGGCGUGCCAAUCAUCACCAUUAGCCACUGGAAUGUGAGGUGAUAUGUUACCCAAAAUCUCAUGUCCGACUCCAUGGUACUUGUCCAUCGUGUUUAUCGAUGAAGCAUGUCGGAUACAUCGCUAAGGAACCUACGUCUGAUGCGCGGACGGCGUCGCACAUAGUCCAGGCCGGCCGCGGGAUCGCUUUUCGUCGAAAGCUGGCCGGUUUGGAUCCCGAGCAUUCUGGCGCAGACUAUGUGCAUGCUGCUACUUGGUUUCUCUCAAGGAAGGGUCGCGAUGUUCGGGCCAUGGGGCCAACCCUCGAUUCGCCUUGGGCUGAUAUAUGGACGUGGAGAUACAUUAGCGGUGUUUGGCCUAUGAGGAUCCCCGUCGCGGCUAUCUGACUUCCCGGUUUGACAUGAGGAUGUGCUACCCGUGUCACCGGUCGUCCGGUGUGACUCUGUUUGUGUCACUGGUCGUCUGGCGUGACUCUUGGACAGGGCCUAAUUAUCCCGCUAGAUCAUCGCCAUCUUCAGAUACUCCAUCCCUUGCUCGAACCUUCGCUUGUCAAGAUGCCCUUUUGGGAAUUGUGUCAUGAUCAGGGCUCCUGUCACUACCUGCAUAUUCUUGGUCAUGCAUGGAUCAAUGGCGUUCGCCUCUUUCACCCGUCUACCUUUCAUGGCUAGGGAGGCCUUGUCCUUUGCCAGCAUGGUCUUUUCGAUGGGAUGGCAAGACCGAAACAACUCCUCACUGCGUCCAGGCCCGCCGCCCUCCUCUUAAAGCAUCUCUUCUCCUUGGAAACCUUGAAGAGAGUCGACACGACUUUCACUCGAACUGCAUCUUGCUCCUUGUUGAGGAAGUCCUGGAUUAGGGGGUCCUUGGAUAGCCGGACUAUAUGCUUAUGCCGGACUGUUGGACUAUGAAGAUACAAGAUUGAAGACUUCGUCCCGUGUCCGGGUGGGACUCUCCUUUGCGUGGAAGGCAAGCUUGGCGAUUCGGAUAUCUAGAUUCCCUUCUCUAUAACCGACUCUGUGUAACCCUAUUCUCCUCCCGUGUCUAUAUAAACCGGAGGGUUUAGUUCGUAGGACAAGAACAAUCAUAAUCAUAGGCUAGCUCCUAGGGUUUAGCCUCUACGAUCUCGUGGUAGAUCAACUCUUGUAAUACUCGCAUCAUCAAGAUCAAUCAAGUAGGAAGUAGGGUAUUACCUCCAUAGAGAGGGCCCGAACCUGGGUAAACAUUGUGUCCCCCGCCUCCUAUUACCAUUAGCCUUAGAAGCACAAUUCGGGACCCCCUACCCGAGAUCCACCGGUUUUGACACCGACACUCGUCUUUUAGGAUCGCUCCAUCAAGCGCUUCAAUAUCCCUAUCGCUGAAUUCUAACACCUCACUGCUUUCCUCCUAGCUUGGAUCUGGCGUGUCUACCAAAUAGCAGGACUCGACCGAGAUUGCCUCCCAUGUGUGGAGAUGCACCAUGGCUCGCGGUUGGUUAUUAGUCAACUCGCACAUCUCCUUAUCAUGACCAUUGAUACGUCUUCAUUGUAUCUACUUUUCCAAACUCUUUUACCCUUAUUUUGGACUCUAAUUUGCAUGAUUUGAAUGAAACUAAUCUAGACUGACGCUGUUUUCAACAGAAUUGCCAUGGUGUUGUUUUUGUGCAGAAAUCAAAGUUUUUGGAUCGACCUAAAAAUUUAUGGAGAUUUUUGUGGAAUAAAUAAAAAAAAUACUGGUGCAAGAAGUUACCAGAGCGCUCCACCCAGAGGCCAGAAGCCCUGGUGAUGUAGGGUGGAAACCCUAGGGCCGAUCUUUCACGAUUUGGAGGGGAUCCCGCGAAGAAGACGAAGAACACGAGGAGACACACGAGGGAAAUCACAAGAGGAACACUCAAAUCCACGAGAAUCGAUUACACAUGUGCUAGAUCCAUGAACACAAAGUGGUCACAAAGAUCCAAAGACAACAAAGUAAGGAUACAAGUAGCUAGUUCUUCUCCAAGAGGAGUUCUUGAAUCCAAGAUGGAUCUUCUCGUAGGUGGAGGCUUGAAUCCACUUGGGGGAUCUUCUCCUAGUUGGAGGGCUUGGCCUUCAAUGGAGUAGGUAUCAAGUGGAUGAGAAAAGCUCUAUCUCUCAUAUGAGCUAAACAAAUGCUAAACCUACAAAGAUGAAGGAGGAGGAGUACAUAUAGUCUAGGGUCACGAAAGGGUACAUGGGCCUCGGCCCAACACACUAUGCACAAACAGGCGCCGGUCAUCUGACAGCUACCGGACGUCCGGUGGCUCACGGGGGUCCGGUCGUCCGGUAGUUGUCAAACGUCUGUCAUUUUGGCUCUGAUCAGGCGGCGUCGAAUUUCCGAUGGACGUCGGACAUCCGGUGGGCCGAUCGUCCGGUGGACUUUGGACUUCUGACAUUUUGGUUCUGUGAUGGUGGCGCCAGUCGUCCAGAGGGGUUCGGCCGUCCAGGCGCUGGGAGGUGUCGGACGUCCGGCCCAUGUCGGUCGUCCGUCCGCUUAGCGUGCGCAGGCUGGGGCUCGGCUGGCUGGCUGGCGCUUCCAGGCGUCAAAUAUCCGACAAGUCUCGGUCGUCCGGUGGUUGGAGAUUUUCUGUCAGCUCCUCUUCUUGUUCCUUGUACUUGGUGUCCUCGCCGUCUUGGCCAUUGGAUGUAGUUGCUCCGUGGCUUCCCCCUAAGUACCUGAUCACACAUAGGGUAUCCGCUUGAGGUAGUAGUCAUGUCUUACAUGAAGAAUGUAUAAGUUCGGAGAGGAGCGAGUUCACCUUAUCUACGAUAGCCUUUGCUCGAGCUCUCGUCACUGGUCCAAGUGGUGUUGUGGGAGACAUAGGUAGGUACAUGGGGAUGACCUUAGGAUGCUCCGCAUCAUCUCCACCCCUGGGAAAGAGCCGACCUCGGAUCGAAAUCUUCAUCACCAUGGUAGGGUGAGAGAUCCUUGACGUUGAAGAUAUCGCUCACGUUGUACUUGUCACGUGGGAUGUUGAUCUUGUAUGCAUUGUUGUUGUAGCAUUCUAGAACUUUGAAGGGUCCAUCAGCUUGAGGUAGAAGCUUGGACUUGCGUUCAUUGGGGAAGCGUUCCUUGUGAAGGUGUAGCCACACAAGAUCUUCAAUGUUGAAUAUCAUGGGUUGCUUGUUGAUGUUGAGCUUGGUCGCGAGGCGUUGUACUUGGCGUUUGAUGGUGUGCCUUGUAUCUUCAUGCAUCUUCUUGAGGUAGCUCACUCGUGCACUCACUCCAUGUUGAUGUGCUCUUGUAGCGGUAGCGGUAAGAUGUCCAAUGGGGACAACCGGUUGAAGCCGUAGACGAGCACAGAGGGGGACUUGCCGGUAGUAGAGUGUCUUGCGCGAUUGUAGGCAUACUCGGUGAUGGGUAAACACUCCUCCUACUCCUUGAUGUUCUUCUUGAUCAACACACGGAGGAGAGUGGAUAGCAUCCCGUUCGUGACCUCCAUUUGGCCGUCGGUUUGUGGAUGGAAUGCCGAGGAGGACAAGAGCUUGAUUUCGAGCUUGGCGCAUGGGGUCUUCCAAAAGUAACUUAGGAACUUGACGCCACGGUCCAAGAUAAUAGUCUUUGGCACUCCAUGUAGGCGCAAGAUUUCCCUACAAAAGAGAUUUGCAACAAGUGAAGCAUCGUCUAUGUUGUUGCAUGGAAUAAAGUUUGCCAUCUUAGAGAAACGGUCCACAACAACAAACAUAGUCCUUUCCAUUUUGAGUUCUAGGCAAACCAAGCACAAAGUCCAUACUAAUAUCUUCCCAUGGGUGAUACGGAAUAGGAAGUGGCAUAUAGAACCAUGUGAUUGAGCUUUAGACUUAGCUUUGCGAUAUGUAGAGCAUCGCUUGGUGAAGCGUGAGACGUUGCGGAACAUCUUGGGCCAAAAGUUAUUCUUUGAUAGUGUAGCAAAUUUCUUGUCGCAUCCAAAGUGUCCCAUAAGUCCUCCAUGAGAUUCUUGCAAAAGUAACAAACAAAGAGAAGACUCGGGGAUACAUAGUUUGUUAGCUCUCAUAAGAUAACCAUCUUUGAUGUAAUAGCGUUCCCAAGAUGUAUGUGUCAAACAUUUGGCAUAGGGAACAUUUGGCAUAGGGAAUAUCAAAAGUAGGAUCAUGCACAUACAAGUCUUUUAUGUGCUCAAAGCCAAUGACACUCAAUUCUACUUUAGUAACAAGCAUGCAUUUGCGGGAAAGAGCAUCCGCCACAACAUUCUCUUUGCCUUUGAUGUACUUGAUGAAGUAAGGAAAUGACUCAAUGAAUUCACUCCACUUAGCAUGACUCUUAUUCAACUAAGGUUGACCCUUAAGGUACUUAAGCGUUUCAUGGUCGGUAUGAAUGAAAAAUUCGUGGGGGUGAAGAUAAUGUUCCCACUCACGCAAAACUCGCCCUAAAGCAUAUAGCUCUUUGUCAUAGAUGGGAUAAUUGAGUUGCGCUCCGGAAAGUUUUUCGCUAAAGUAAGCAAUAGGGUGCUUCUCUUGCAUUAACACACCCCCUAUGCCAUGACUGCUAGCAUCACAAUGGACUUCAAAAGUUUUGUCAAAAUUGGGUAACUCAAGCACGGGAGCAUGUGUAAGGAAAAUUUUAAGCUCAUUGAAUGCGAUAUCUUGGGAUGGUCCCCAAACAAAAGGUGCAUUCUUAUUACUCAAGGCAUGCAAAGGAGAUGCAAUGGUGCUAUAAAGUCCUUAAUGAAUCUAUGAUAGAAACCGGCUAAGCCAAGGAAACUUCGCACUUGUUGCAAGUUGGUUGGUUAUGGCCAAGUUUAAAUAGCAUUUUAUCUUAGAUUCAUCUACAUGAACACCUAGGCAACGAAACCCAAAAAAACGAGCUUGUCCACACCGAAUUUGCAUUUCUCCAUAUUAGCAUAAAGGCACUCUUUUUAAAGAGUUUGCAAAACGGUUCUAAGAUGGGUGACAUGAUCUUUGAGAGAUUUGCUAAAGACAAGAAUAUCGUCAAAAUAGACCACAACAAAUACACCAAUGUAGGGGCGAAGAACAAAAUGCAUGACGCGAUGAACGUACCGGGUGCUUCAGAUAAGCCCAUUGGCAUAACAAGCCAUUCAUAUAAGCCAAAUUUGGUCUUAAAUGCGGCUUUCCAUUCAUCACCUUCUUGUAUGCGGAUUUGGUAAUAUCCACUUUUAAGAUCAAUUUUAGAGAAAAUAGUGGCUCCACUAAGCUCAUCUAGCAUAUCAUCAAGGCGUGGAAUAGGAUAUCUAUAAUGAACGGUGAUAGCAUUGAUGGGUCUACAAUCGGAACACAUGCGAAAACUACCGUCUUUCUUAGGCACUAGUAUGACCGGUAUGGCACAAGGACUUAAACUUUCACGCACAUUCCCAUUGCCAAUGAGUUGUUGUACUUGCCUUUGUAUUUCCUUGGUUCCUUGAGGGUUGAUGCGUUAGGGUGCCUUGUUAGGAAGCGGUGAGCCAGGGAUGAGGUCGAUUCGGUGUUCGAUGCCUCAUAGUGGAGGUAGUCCCGAAGGUAGUUCAUCUUGGAAGACGUCCUUGAAUUCCUGCAAGAUAUUAGACAACACUAAAGGUAGAGGGUGAGAGGUGUUAGUUGUUGUUGCCUCGUCGUUGCACAAUAGGCCAUAGUGCAUAACACUUGAUGGGUUCUCACACACUUUUCUCAUCCCACUUUUGGUAGCGAAUAUCACUAAGUUUUUCUUGUCGCUCAUCAUGGAGGCACUCAUUUUGGGCUUGUGGAUCUCACUCCCUUUUGGAUGGCUCACCCUCUCACUAUUCUCUCCAUGAUGGGUGGUUGCUUGCUUGUCGGCGAUCACUUGGUUUGGUGACAUAGGUCGUAGCACGCACUCCUUUCCCUUCAUCUUGAAGCUAUAGUGAUUGAUUCUCCCAUUGUGGAUGACGCCGCGGUCAAAUUGCCAAGGUCGUCCAAGUAGGUAUGGCAAACGGACAUGGGAACCAUUUCACAUUCCAAAGUGUCUUCAUAUGCUCCGAUCUUGAAGGAUACUUGAGCCAUGUGCUCCACUUGAAUGGUGCCGGAGUCGCUAAGCCAUUGGACCUUGUAGGGCGGAGAUGCUUCAUCUUGACCAAUUGUAGCUUGGAACAUAGCUCUUCACUUGCCAAGUUGUGGCAACUUCCUCCGUCGAUGAUAACCUUCAUGGAACGACCAUUGAUGCCCGCUUUGGUGUGGAAGAGGUGGCAACGUUGGUCUUCCUCUUGUUGGUGUUGGAGCAUCAAGACCUUGGAGACAACGAGAGCGGGGCUCGAAUCAUUGUCACAAAAGACUUGAUCAUCUUCAUCUUCAUUCACUUGCUGGUGCAUGUCCACAUGCUCAAGGGCUUCCAUUUCCUCUUUAGUCAUGGAGUCAUAGGUGCCGUCGUUGUUGAGGAUUAUGGUACACUUAUUGGUACACUCGAAGGACUUGUGGCCUCGGCCGUCGCAUGUGAAGCAUUUGAAGGAGCUCAUCUUGAUGGUCUCAUCGAUUGGAGUAGAUGAUGAAGCUCUCGGCUUGAAGUUGCUUGUAGGAGGUGGAUGACUUGAAGAUGUCAAAAUUUUCUUGGAACUUGACUUGUGGCCAUUGCUUGGUGAAGCUUUUGUCGUAGAAGAAGGCGUCGAAGUCGUUGAAGCUUGGUUGUAGGAAGAGGCAUAGGACUUGGAAGAGAAAUUGGCAUACAUGAAGUCAUCUUGCACUUGUUGCCCCGCCUUGGUAGCUUGGUGCACUAUCUCGAUGAGGUUGGAGUAAGUUUGGAAGUUGGCGAUCUUCUUGAUAGGAUGAUUGAGUCCAUUCAAGAAACCUGCCAUAGUUUGCUCAUCAUCUUCCGUGACAUUGGCUCAUAUCAUGGCGAUCUCCAUUUCCUUGUGGUACUCUUCAAUGCUAUUUGUUCCUUGCUUGAGUAGUUGUAAUUUCUUGAAGAGGUCGCGGUUAUAGUAGGUUGGUACAAAGCAUGCUCUCAUGGCAUCCUUCAUUUGAGUCCAUGUUGUGAUGGGUGGUUCACCUCUUACCUCUCGGUGCUCAAUGACUUGUUCCCACCAAAUAAGGACAUAGUCUUGGAACUCAAGGGAUGCCAUGGCGAUCUUCUUAUCUUCUUCAUAGUCAUGCAAGCGAAAGAUCUUGUCAAUCUUCAAUGCGCAUGACAGGUACUCUUUGGGAUCAUUGCUUCCGAAGAACUUGAGCAUGGUGAACUUGAGCUUGCUGUAGCAUUGCUCUUCAUUGUGUUGGGGUCGAUGGUGAUGGCGUUCUUGUCAUGGAGGAGGGUCUUGGGCCACUAGCUCCUCGUGCUCCGCUUGAUUAGCGUGAUGUUGAGGUCGUGGAAGGUUAGCAUGAUUCCUCAUUUCUUGGCGCUCCUCAAUACGGGCGGCUUCUUCUUGUAGCACUUGGUGGAGGGCCUCUUCUUGAAGUCGUGCUUGGCGGUUGUGCUCGUUGACGACCAGUGUAGCUUCGUGAAGAGCACGUUGUGCUUUAAGGUUUUGUUCCUCAGGAUGUUGUUGCUCUUGUCGAGGUGCAUUGCCAUCUUGGUGUUGUUGUCGAAUGGCAUCACCAUCUUGUUGUUCUUAUCGAUCUUAGUGUAUUGGAUCUUGAUCUUGGACCAUAGGAUCAUUAUCUUGUUGACAUUGUUGUUCACGUGCCCGGAGACGGUCUUGUAAACCAUUGCCAUGGAAUGGGUUGUGCGGAGCUUGAUGAUCUUCAUGGUAGUGGCAACGGUACGAACGAGCUCAAGGAUGACUUGCAUCCGAAGAAGAUUGCGAAUAAUGUCGACUUGAGUGGCCCCGUCAUGAAUAGGAUGAUGUCCUAGAGGAGCGAUUGACCAUCAUGGCUCAUAUGUCUUCCUUGAGAGAGGCCAUUGAUGUGUCAAAGUAGUCUCUUGUACGUUGCUCGGAUUGUCACAAGUCGGUAGCGAGUAGGUCGAUGCGGUCGCCUAAUGCUUCAUUCUCUCUAUGCAAAGCUCUUUGUGCGCUGAAGAGGUGGUUCUUGGUGACGUAGAUGUUUGGGUCCUCAUCUUGCUCGAUGAAGAGUGGAUUCGAAGAAGUAGUUAGCCUAUCCAUCAUCUCAAGCAAAUGUAAGUGAAAGAAUGAAAAGAACUAGACCAAAUGUACCUUACCCGAUGUUGAAAAUGGAUCAAUGAUCACUCAAUAGUGUAACAAGGGAGUAGCACAAUUGGUACUGAAUCUCGUCGAUUUAUCACACCUACACAAAUUUGCAAAUGCAACAAGUAGACAAAUAGCAAGUAGAUGUAACCGGAAACACACAGACAUGAAAACAUAAAUGGGGUCAUGCAACCAAAAAUGAGCUCAAAAUGUGGAAUCCAUGGAAAAUGCUCUUGUUGCACAACACUGGAGAGAUGCUAGCAUGAUUGCUCAAUAGGCGGAUACGAGACUUUUGCACAACCUACAAAGCAAAAAUGCUACGACUUCUAUCCCAAGUAUGCUCUAUGUAUGAUGUUCCGGUGAUAUGAUCCAAGAUGAUCGAGUAUGACAAUCUUAAAGUAGUAUGAUGCUAUGGUUCUUGCUUAAAAGCUCUUUGCUUAUCUUUCUCUUUUGCUUAAAAGCUUGUUUGACUCUUUCUCUUUUGAGCUCUUUCUCAUGCAAGACUUGAAGAACCAAGGUAGAUAUUGUGUAUAUGCGGUGACAACCUUGUGACACAAGAGAUAAUACCAAGAUAUGUAUACCAAGAAGAUAUGAUAUAUGCAAUGAUCACUAAUGUGCACAAGUAACAUUGCCGACAAUACUCAAAGGCUAGUCUCGAUAGGUAAGUGAUGCGAAAAUGGGCUAUGGGGUUAUCAAUGCAAUGGCAAGGAGUACACAAAGUGUCGUCGAGGUUACGGUCCUUGCUUACGGUGGAUGGUGUCAAAAUGAUGAAGAGGUCGAGGUCGAUGAUAAAGAUGAGCGGUGGUGACGUCGAUGUCGAACCAUCCUUAAGUAGCCAAAACAUGAUAGGAGACGAAAACCGUAACUCAAAUUCGCAAAGACCAAAAGUGGCUAAAUUGUCGGAGUUGGUAGCGGGUAAGCGAUGGUGGUUGCGGAAAGCGGUGGUGGUAUGCUGCAAUGCAAUGUGGGGUUAUGGGAGUGGUGGUGCGGAAGGUGAAGUGGGCAGCUAGAAAUUUUCGAGCGAAAUUCAGUUCUGUCAGGAAAUGUCGGACAUCCGGUGACUGUCGGACGUCCGGUGCUUGGGCUAUUUCGGGCACGGGAUGAACUUCUAGGGUUCGCGGUGGACAUGCAAAAUUUGGUCAAAAUUUGACGGAUUUGUGGAUGGAAAAGGGGGAAAUGAUGGGGAAAAGCUAGAUCUACCUGCAAUACAUCAAAUCCACGAAUCAAAUCCAGCAUAACUUCAUCACACCAACAAAUCACAAAAAAAAGUUGGGGCUAUUUCUAUGGGAAUUUCUAAAUUUGGGACGAAAUCAACAAAAUUAGGCUAGAAAACAUAGGGGGAAGGCUCCAAAUACGUGAUCAACCUUGGCUCAUGAUACCAAGAUGAUGUAGGGUGGAAACCCUCGGGCCGAUCUUUCAUGAUUUGGAGGGGAUCCCGCGAAGAACACGAGGAACACAAGGGGAAACACGAGGGAGAUCAUGAGAGGAACACUCAAAUCCACGAGAAUCGAUUACACAUGUGCUAGAUCUAUGAACACAAAGAGGUCACAAAGAUCCAAAGACAAUAAACUAAGGAUGCAAGUAGCUAGUUCUUCUCCAAGAGAAGGUCUUGAAUCCAAGAUGGAUCUUCUCCUAGGUGGAGGGCUUGAAUCCACUUGGGGGAUCUUCUCCUAGUUGGAGGGCUUUGCCUCCAAUGGAGUAGUAUCAAGUGGAUGAGCAAAGCUCUAUCUCUCAUAUGAGCUAAAUAAAUGCUAACCCUAGAAAGAGGGAGGAGGAGGAGUACAUAUAGUCUAGGGUCACGAAAGGGUACAUGGGCUUUGACCCAACAAACUGUGCAUAGACAGGCAUCGGUCGUCCGACAGCUACCGGAUGCCCGGUCGCUCGCGGGGGUCCGGUCAUCUGAUACAUCUCCAACAUAUCUAUAAUUCUUGAUUGUUCCAUGCUAUUAUAUUUUCUGUUUUGGAUGUUUUAUAUGCAUUAAUAUGCUAUUUUAUAUUAUUUUUGGGACUAACCUAUUAACCUAGAGCCCAAUGCUAGUUUAUGUUUUUGCCUGUUUUAGAGUUUCAUAGAAAAGGAAUACCAAACGGAGUCCAAACGAAAUAAAACUUUCGCGAUGAUCUUUCUUGGACCAGAAGCAAACCAGGAGACUUGGAGAUUAAGUCAGAGAAGCAACGAAGCGACCACGAGGGUGCAGGGCGCGCCCCUACCUCGUGGGCCUCUCGAGGGUCUCUGACCUAAUUCUUUCGCCCAUAUAUACUCUUAUACCCCAAAACCAUCAGGGGGAGCCACGAAAACACUUUUCCACCACCGCAACCUUCCGUACCAAUGAGAUCCCAUCUAGGGACCUUUUCCGACGUCUUGCCGGAGGGCGAUUCAAUCACGGAGGGAUUCUACAUCAACAACAUUACCCUUUCGAUGAAGCGUGAGUAGUUUACCAUAGACCUACGGGUCCAUAGCUAGUAGCUAGAUGUUCUCCUCGAUGUUCUUGGAGACCUAUUCGAUGUAAUACUCUUUUGCGGUGUGUUUGCCGAGAACCGAUGAAUUGUGGAUUUAUGAUCAGAUUAUCUAUGCAUAUUAUUUGAGUCUUCUUUGAAUUCCUAUAUGCAUGAUUUGAUAUCUUUGCAAGUCUGUUUGAAUUAUCGGUUUAGUUUGGCCUACUAGAUUGGUUUUUCUUGCAAUGGAAGAAGUGCUUAGCUUUGGGUUCAAUCUUGCGGUGUCCUUUCCCAGUGACAGUAGGGGCAGCAAGGCACAUAUUGUAUUGUUGCCAUCAAGGAUAAAAAGAUGGGGUUUUCAUCAUAUUGCUUGUGUUAAUUCCUCUUCAUCAUGUCAUCUUACUUAAUGCGUUACUUCGUUCUUUAUGAACUUAAUACUCUAGAUGCAUGUUGGAUAGCGGUUGAUGUGUGGAGUAAUAGUAGUAGAUGCAGAAUAGUUUCGGUCUACUUGACACAGACGUGAUGCCUAUGUUCAUGAUCAUUGCCUUAGAUAUCAUCAUAAUUAUGCGCUCUUCUAUCAAUUGCUUGGCAGCAAUUUGUUCACCCACCGUAUUAUUUGCUAUCUUAAGAUAAGCCACUAGUGAAACCUAUGGCCCCCGAGUCUUUUUUCCAUCAUAUAAGUUCUAUUUUCCAUCACAUUAGUUUCUGAUAUACUAUUUUACAAUCUUUUACUUUCUGAUCUAUAAACCAAAAACAUCACAAACAUUUACUUUACCGUUUAUCUAUCUCUACCAGAUCUCACUUUUGCAAGUAACCGUGAAGGGAUUGACAACCCCUUUAUCACAUUGGGUGUAAGUUUGUUUGAUUGUUUGUGCAUGUAUUAAUUGACUUGUGCGUUAUCUCUUACUGGAUUGAUACCUUGGUUCUCAAACUGAGGGAAAUACUUACUCUACUUUGCUGCAUCACCCUUUCCUCUUCAAGGAAAAAACCAACGCAAGCUCAAGGUAGCAGGAAGAAUUUCUAGCGCCGUUGCCGGGGAGAUCUACGCCAAGUCAAGACAUACCAAGUACCCAUUAUAAACUCUCAUCUCUUGUAUUACAUUAUUCGCCAUUCGCCUCUUGUUUUCCUCUCCCCCACCUCUAAAAAGAUUUUCGAAAAUAUUUGCCUUGUCUUUGCCCCUCUUCCAUUCGUCUUCUUUGCUUGCUUUUUGUGUGCUUGUGAUUGGUGUGCCUUUAUGGCACAACCAAAAUGCAUUGAUCCUCACCUUAGGAGGUUGGAAGAAAUUUAAAAUAAUGUUAGAAGCUUUAUGUCUUUACAAUUUGAGCAUAAUAGUUUCUUUAGAAACGAGCUUAAAGAACAAAAAGGUUUUAUGGAGUAUAUGAAUAAACGGCUCGAUGAUAUGUCUAAGGAAUUUUAUGGUCUGUAAUCUCAUUUUUCUCAUCUUGAAAAUCUAGUAGGUCAAUUUUCUGAUAAACAAGCUACCUUAGUAAAUAAAAUGGCCGCUAAACCGGAAGCUGAAAAUAAUGAUGAAGAUCUAAAAGUGAUUGGUGUGACUCCUAUUUAAUAUUUGUUUUCCAAUGUAAAUCUUGAUAAAUAUGGGACUGGAGAUGAGUCAACUUUAGUUAAAAGGCGUCCCAAUGAUUCGGAGUUUUUUGAUCUAGAUGCAAAAAUUGAUAAAAGUGGGAUUGGAGAGGUCAAGACUUUAAGUAGAAAUGAAUCCACUCUUUUGGAUUUCAAGGAAUUUAAUUAUGACAAUGGUUCUUUAAUAGAUUGUAUUUCCUUGUUGCAAUCCAUGUUGAAUUCUCCUCAUGCUUAUAAUCAAAACAAAGCUUUUACUAAACAUAUCGUUGAUGCUAUGAUGCAAUCUUUUGAAGAAAAGCUUGAAUUGGAAGUUUCUAUCCCUAAAAAACUUUAUGCUGAGUGGGAACCUACUAUUAAGAUUAGGAUUAAAUAUUAUGAGUGCCAUGCUUUGUGUGAUAUAGGUGUUAGUGUUUCCACGAUUCGAUAAACUUUAUGUGAUGUGUUAGGUUUUCGCAAAUUUUAUGAUUGUUCUUUAAAUUUGCAUCUUGCGGAUUCCACUAUUAAGAAACCUAUGGGAAGAAUUGAUGAUGUUAUUAUUCUUGCAAAUAGGAAUUAUGUGCCCGUAUAUUUCAUUGUUCUUGAUAUAGAUUGCAAUCCUACAUGUCCUAUUAAUCUUGAUAGACCUUUCCUUAGAACGAUUGGUGCAAUUAUUGAUAUGAAAGAAGGAAACAUUAGAUUCCAAUUUCCGUUAAGGAAGGUCAUGGAAUACUUCCCUAGGAAGAAAAUUAAAUUGCCAUAUGAAUCUAUUACGAGAGCCACUUAUGGAUUGCAUACCAAAGAUGACAAUACCUAGAUCUAUUCGUGUUUUACGCCUAGCUAAGGGCGUUAAACGAUAGCGCUUGUUGGGAGGCAACCCAAUUUUAUUUUUGUUCUUUAAUUUUUGUUCCUGUUUAGUAUAAAUAAUUCAUCUAGCCUCUGGUUAGACGUGGUUUUGUGUUUUAGUUAGUGUUUGUGCCAAGUUAAACCUUUAGGAUAGCUUAGGGUGAUAGUUGUGUUGAUCCUGUUGAAAAACAGAAACUUUUGCACCCAGUAAAUAAUUUCCAGAAUUUUAUUGAAACGUGCUUUUGAUCUGAUUCUUUUUGAUCUGGAUUGGUGCACAAAUUUCUCAGGUUGUCCUAAUUAUUAAGAAUUUUUGGAGUUACAGAAGUAUUCGAGAGUUACAGAUUACUACAGACUGUUCUGUUUUUGACAGAUUCUGUUUUCUAUGUGUUGUUUGCUUAUUUUGAUGAAUCUAUGGGUAGUAUCGGGGGGGGGGGGUAUGAACCAUGGAAAAGUUGGAAUACAGUAGAUAUUACACCAAUAUAGAUAAAGAAUGAGUUUGCAACAGUACCUUAAAGUGGUGAUUUAUUUUCUUAUACUAACGGAGGUUAUGAGAUUUUCUAUUGAGUUUUGUGUUGUGAAGUUUUCAAGUUUUGGGUAAGGUUUUGAUGGACUAUGGAAUAAGGAGUGGCAAGAGCCUAAGAUUGGGGAUGCCCAAGGCACACCAAUGUAAUAUUCAAGGACAACCAAAAGCCUAAGCUUGGGGAUGCCCCGGAAGGCAUCCCCUCUUUCGUCUUCGUCUAUCGGUAACUUCAGUUGAGGCUAUAUUUUUAUUCAGCACAUGAUAUGUGUUUUGCUUGGAGAUCUUGUAUGAUUUGAGUAUUUGCUUUUUAGUUUACCACAAUCAUCCUUCCUGUACACACAUUUUGGGAGAGACACGCAUGAAUCGUGAUUUAUUAGAAUACUCUAUGUGCUUCACUUAUAUCUUUUGAGCUAGGCAAUAUUGCUCUAGUACUUCACUUAUAUCUUUUUGGAGCACGGCGGUGGCUUUAUUUUAUAGAAAUUGAUGAACUCUCAUGCUUCACUUUAUUUUGAGAGUCUUUUAGAACAUCAUGGUAAUUUGCUAUGGUUAUAAAUUUAGUCCUAAUAUGAUAGGCAUCCAAGAGGGAUAUAAUAAAAAACUUUCAUAUAAAGUGCAUUGAAUACUAUGAGAAGUUUGAUUCUUUAUGAUUGUUUUGAGAUAUGGAGAUGGUGAUAUUAGAGUCAUGCUAGUGAGUAGUUGUGAAUUUGAGAGAUACUUGUGUUAAAGUUUGUGAUUCACGUAGCAUGCACGUAUGGAGAACCGUUAUGUGAUGAAGUCGGAGCAUGAUUUAUUGUUUGAUUGUCUUCCUCAUGAGUGGCGGUCAGGGAUGAGCGAUGGUCUUUUCCUACCAAUCUGUCCCCCUAGGAGCAUGCACGUAGUACUUUGUUUAGAUAACUAAUAGAUUUUUGCAAUAAGUAUGUGAUUUCUUUAUGACUAAUGUUGAGUCCAUGGAUUAUACACACUCUCAUCCUCCCACCAUUGCUAGCCUCUCUUGUGCCGCGCAACUCUCGCCGGUACCAUACGCCACCAUAUACCUUCCUCAAAACAGCCACCAUACCUACCUAUUAUGGCAUUUCCAUAGCCAUUCCGAGAUAUAUUGCCAUGCAACUUUCCACUGUUCCGUUUAUUAUGACACGCUUCAUCAUUGUCAUAUUGCUUUGCAUGAUCAUGUAGUUGACAUCGUAUUUGUGGCAAAGCCACCUUUCAUAAUUAUUUCAUACAUGUCACUCUUGAUUCAUUGCACAUCCCGGUACACCGCCGGAGGCAUUCAUAUAGAGUCAUAUUUUGUUCUAAGUAUCGAGUUGUAAUUCUUGAGUUGUAAGUAAAUAAAAGUGUGAUGAUCUUCAUUAUUAGAGCAUGUUUCCAUGUGAGGAAAGGAUGAUGGAGGCUAUGAUUCCCCCACUUGUUGGGAUGAGACUUCAGAUGAAAAAUAAAAAAAUAGGCCAUAAAAAAGAGAAAGGCCCAAACAAAAAAACGAGAGAAAAAUAGAGAAGGGGCAAUGUUACUAUCCUUUUACCACACUCGUGCUUCAAAGUAGCACCAUGAUCUUCAUGAUAGAGAGUCUCCUAUGAUAUCACUUUGAUAUACUAGUGGGAAUUUUUCAUUAUAGAACUUGGCUUGUAUAUUCCAAUGAUGGGCUCCCUCAAACUACCCUAGGUCUUCGUGAACAAGAAAGUUGGAUGCACACCCACUUAAUUUAUUUUUGAGCUUUUAUACACUUAUAGCUCUAGUGCAUCCGUUGCAUGACAAUCCCUACUCACUCACAUUGAUAUCUAUUUAUGGGCAUCUCCAUAGACCAUUGAUACGCCUAGUUGAUGUGAGACUAUCUCCCUCUUUUUGUCUUCUCCACAACCACCAUUCUAUUCCACCAUAGUGCUUUGUCCAUGGCUCACGCUCAUGUAUUGCGUGAGAGUUGAGAAAGUUUGAGAAUACUAAAGUAUGAAACAAUUGCUUGGCUGAAACCGGGGUUAUGCAUGAUUUGAGUAUUUUGUGUGAUAAAGAUGGAGCAUAGCCAGACUAUAUGAUUUUAUAGGGAUAAAUUUGUUUGGCCAUGUUAUUUUGAGAAGACAUAAUUGCCUUAUUAGUAUGCUUGAAGCAUUAUUGUUUUUAUGUCAAUAUUAAAGUUUUGUUUUGAAUCUUAAGAAUCUGAACAUUCAUGCCACAAUAAAGAGAAUUACAUGGAUAAAUAUGUUAGGUAGCAUUCCACAUCAAAAAUUCUGUUUUUAUCAUUUACCUACUCGAGGACGAGCAGGAAUUAAGCUUGGGGAUGCUUGAUACGUCUCCAAUGUAUCUAUAUUUUUUGAUUGUUCCAUGCUAUUAUUUUAUCUGUUUUGGAUGUUUUAUAUGCAUUAAUAUGCUAUUUUAUAUUAUUUUGGGACUAACCUAUUAACCUAGAGCCCAGUCCAGUUUCUAUUUUUUGCCUGUUUUAGAGUUUCACAGAAAAGGAAUACCAAACGGAGUCCAAACGGAAUAAAACUUUCGCGAUGAUCUUUCUUGGACAAGAAGCAAACCAGGUGACUUGGAGAUGAAGUCGGAGAAGCAACGAGGCGGCCACGAGAGUGGAGGGCGCACCCCCUACCUCGUGGGCCCCUCGAGGGUCUCCUGACCUAAUUCUUUCACCCAUAUAUACUCUUAUACCCCAAAACCAUUAGGCGGAGCCACGAAAACACUUUUUCACCGCCGCAACCUUUUGUACCUUUGAGAUCCCAUCUAGGGACCUUUUCCAUCGUCCUGCCGGAGGGGGAUUCGAUCAUGGAUGGCUUCUACAACAACACCAUUACCCUUCCUUUUUGAAACUAUCAUGUUCUCUGUAGCAAAUCCGUAAACUAUACAUCCUGAUGCAUAAAAAUCAAAUCUAUGACCCCAUCGGCCUCCUGCUGCUCGAAGAUGAGCUUUUCGGCCAACUCCAGGCCGAAGUAGAGUCUUCGGUCUACUUGCAGCCGAAGAGUGGUGGAAUAGGGCCGAAGAGCACUGUUUGGUCAUCUAUAGGAUGAAGAGUACUCUUUGGUCAUCUGUAGGCUGAAGAGUCCUCUAGGACCCAUCUCUUCGCGUAAAUGGUAGGACGACAUUGCAUGGGUCCCAGAGGACUCUUCGGCCUAUAGAUGACCAAAGAGUACUCUUCGGCCUACAGAUGACCAAAGAGUGCUCUUCAGCCCUGUUCCACCACACUUCGGCCGCAAGUAGACCGAAGACUCUACUUCGGUUUGGAGUUGGCCGAGAAGCUUAUCUUUGGCCAGCAGGAGGCUGACGGGGUCAUAUAUUUGAUUUUUGUGCGUUUAGUCAUAUAGUUUCCGAAUUUUCUAUAAAAACAUGAUAGUUUCAAAAGAAAUCUUUCGAUGAAGCGUAAGUAGUUCACCACAGACCUACGGGUCCAUAGCUAGUAGCUAGAUGGCUUCUUCUCUCUCUUUGAUUCUCAAUACCAUGUUCUCCUCGAUGUUCUUGGAGAUCUAUUCGAUGUAAUACUCUUUUGCGGUGUGUUUGCCGAGAUCCGAUGAAUUGUGGAUUUAUGAUCAGAUUAUCUAUGAAUAUUAUUUGAGUCUUCUCUGAAUUCCUAUAUGCAUGAUUUGAUAUCUUUGCAAGUCUCUUCGAAUUAUCGGUUUAGUUUGUCCUACUAGAUUGGUUUUUCUUGCAACGGGAGAAGUGCUUAGCUUUGGGUUCAAUCUUGCGGUGUCCUUUCCCAAUGACAAUAGGGGAAGCAAGGCACGUAUUGUAUUGUUGCCAUCGAGGAUAAAAAUAUGGGGUUUUCAUCAUAUUGCUUGAGUUAAUUCCUCUACAUCAUGUUAUCUUACUUAAUGCGUUACUCCAUUCUGUAUGAACUUAAUACUCGAGAUGCAUGCUAGAGAGCGGUCGAUGUGUGGAUUAAUAGUAGUAGAUGCGGAAUCAUUUCGGUCUACUUGACACGGACGUGAUGCCUAUGUUCAUGACUAUUGCCUUAGAUAUCGUCAUAAUUAUGCGCUCUUCUAUCAAUUGCUCGGCAGUAAUUUGUUCACCCACCGUAUUAUUUGCUAUCUUGAGAGAAGCCACUAGUGAAACCUAUGCUCCUCGGGUCUUUUUCCAUCAUAUAAGUUCUAUUUUCCAUCACAUUAGUUUCCGAUCUACUAUUUUGCAAUCUUUUACUUUCCGAUCUAUAAACCAAAAAUACCAAAAAUAUUUACUUUUUUUUCCUAUCUGUAUCAGAUCCCACUUUUGCAAGUAACCAUGAAGGGAUUGACAACCCCUUUAUCGCGUUGGGUGCAAGUUUGUUUGAUUGUUUGUGCAGGUAUUCAGUGACUUGUGCGUUGUCUCCUACUGGAUUGAUACCUUGGUUAUCAAACUGAGGGAAAUACUUACUAUACUUUGCUGCAUCACCAUUUCCUCUUCAAGGGAAAAACCAAUGCAAGCUCAAGAGGUAGCAUCAUCGGUAGUUGUCGGACAUCCGACUGUUUGGCUAUGAUCAGGCAGCGUCAGAUUACCGGUGGAUGUUGGACGUCUGGUGCGCCGGUUGUCCGGUGGACUUCAGAUUUCUGAUGUUUUGGUUCUGUGAUGGUGGCAUCGGUCGUCCAGAGGGGUUCGGUUGUCCGGGGGCUGGGAGGUGUUAGACGUCCGGUCCACAUUGGUCAUCCGGCCGCUGUAGCAUGCGCAGGAUGGGGAUCGGCUGGCUGGCUGGCGCUUCCAGGCGUCGGACAUCCGACAAGUCUCAGUCGUCCAGUGGUUGGAGAUUUUCUAUCAGCUUCUCUUCUUGUUCCUUGUACUUGGUGUCCUCGCUGUCUUGGCCAUUGGAUAUAGUUGCUCCGUGGCUUCCCUCUAAGUACCUGAUCACACAUAGGGUCCCCGCUUGAGUUAGUAGCCAUGUCUCACAUGAAUAACAAAGUUCAGAGAGGAGCGAGUUCACCUUAGCUACGAUAGACUUUGCUCGAGCUCUUGUCAUUGGUCCAAGUGGUGUCGUGGGAUACAUAGGUAGGUCCAUGGGGAUGACUUUAGGAUGCUCCGCAUCACCUAGGGGCGCGCCCACCCCCUAGGGCGCACCUACCAGGCUUGUGGCCCCCCUGGACCUCCUCCGACCCUAAUUCCAACUCUAUAUAUUCCUAUUCAGGAAAAAAAUCAGAGAGAAGGAUUCGUCACAUUUCACGGUACGGAGCCGCCACCACCUCCUGUUCUUCCUUGGGAGGGAAGAUCUGGAGUUUGUUUUGGGCUCCGGCGAGGGGAAAUCGAUGCUAUCAUCAUCAUCAACCUUCCUCCAUCACCAAUUUCAUGAUGCUCACUGCUAGGACUGAGUAAUUCCUUCGUAGGCUUCCUAUACGGUGAUGGGUUGGAUGAGAUUUAUCAUGUAGUCGAGUUAUUUUUGUUAGGGCUUGAUCCCUAGUAUCCACUAUGCUCUGAGAUUGAUGUUGCUAUGACUUUGCUAUGUUUAAUGCUUGUCACUAGGGACCGAGUGCCAUGAUAUCAGAUAUGAACCUAUUAUGUUUUCAUGAAUAUAUGUGAGCUCUUGAUCCUAUCUUGCAAGUUGUAGACACCUAUUACGAGUUAUGAUCAACAUACCCCAAGGAGACAAUAAUUGGGAUUCUUUCCAGUGAUUACCGUGGUUUGAGGAGUUCAUGUAUUCACUAAGUGCUAAUGCUUGUUCCAGUUCUCUAUUAAAAGGAGGCUUUAAUAUGCCUUAGUUUCCUUAUGGACCCCGCUGCCAUGGGAGGGUAGGACAAAAGAUGUCAUGUAAGUUCUUUUCCAUAAGCACGUAUGACUAUAUACGGAAUACAUGCCUACAUUACAUUGAUGAAUUGGAGCUAGUUCUCUGUCGCACUAAGUUAUAACUGUUGCAUGAUGAAUGCCAUUCGACAUAAUUAUCCAUCACUGAUCCAAUGCCUACGAGCUUUUCACAUAUUGAUCUGUGCUAAGUUACUUUUGCCAUGCUGCUGUUACAAUCACUACAAACUUGCUACUAUUACUGUUACCAUCAUUACUAUUACUUCCAUACUACUUUGCUACUAAAAACUUUGUUGCAGAUAUUAUGUCUUUCAGGUGUGGUUGAAUUGACAACUUAACUGCUAAUACUCGUGAAUAUUCUUUGGCUCACCUUGUGUCGAAUCUAUAAAUUUGGGUUGAAUACUCUACCCUCGAAAACUCUUGGGAUCCCCUAUACUUGUGGGUUAUCAAGACCGUUUUCUGGCGCUGUUGCUGGGGAGCAUAGCUCUGUUUGCUGAGUCACUUGGGAUUCAUAUCCUUUUAUCACUAUAAAGAAUCUGAAAGAUUCGAAAACCAAGAUUUCUCCCUCUAUUACGGGGGGAGGUAAGGAACUGCCAUCACACUCUGUACUUGAUUCACCUUCUAUUUUGAGUAAGCUUGCGACACCUACACAUACUAGUAAUCCUAAUGUGUUGCAAGUAAUUGAUGAUGCUACUUCUGCUAUGAAUGAUACUUAUGAUGAUGCUAGUACUUUGCUUGAUAAGACUGUGCCACUAGGAGAAUUUCUUGAUGAACAACUUGCUAGAGCUAAAGAAACCGAGAAUGCUGAAACUGAUGAAAUUAUUGAAACUGAAGAUUAUGAUCCUCCUCAUAGAUAUGAACUGCCAGAUAUACCCAAGGGUUAUGUUAUGGACGAAGAGGUAGCUAGGGACUUUCUAGCUUGUAAGGAUAGAGAUGAUCUUAAGAAAUUAUUAUGCAAGUGGAAAGAAAAAUCUUUGAAUGCUAGAAUGCAAUAUGAUCCUAAGUUUGCUACUUCACCUAUAUUUAUUACUGAUAAGGAUUAUGAAUUCUCUGUCGAUCCUAAGUUAACUACUUUAGUUGAAUCUGAUCCUUUCCAUGGUUAUGAAUCUAAAACUGUUGUGGCACAUCUUACUAAACUGAAUGAUAUAGGCAGCCUAUUUUUUCAUGAGGAAAAAAAUCGCUAUUACUAUAUUCUUAAGUUCUUUCCUUUCUCAUUAAAGGGUGAUGCUAAUACAUGGUUUAAUUCUCUUGCUCCUGGUUGUGUGUGUAGUCCCUAGGAUAUGAUAUAUUACUUCUCUGAAAAAUAUUUUCCUGCUCAUAAGAAACAAGCUGCUUUACAGGAAAUAUUUAACUUUGUGCAAAUUGAAGAAGAGAGUCUCCCACAAGCUUGGGGGAGGCUUAUCCAAUUACUUAAUGCUUUGCCUGAUCAUCCUCUCAAGGAAAAUGAAAUACUUGAUAUCUUUUAUAAUGAACUAACUGAUGCUACUAGGGAUCACAUAGAUAGUUGUGCUGGUUGUGUUUUCAGGGAACGACACUACAAAAAAAUACACUUUCGUGAUGAUACGUGUUUGUCAUAGUAGGUCAUGUUUUCUGUCAUGCAUGUACAUCCAUGACAAUUUUAUGACAGAAUCAAGAUAGUCAUACUUGUGUUGUCAUAGAAGUGUUCCACGACAUUACCAAAAAUCAUCACGGAAGUGUCCACUUCCAUGACGAUAAAUCACGUGUCAUAUAAGUGCUUUCGUCAAGGGUGACCGACACGUGGCAUCCACCAUAACGGGACGCCUUUAAUCUAUCGGGUCCAGUUUUGGAUCCGAUAACCCGUUAACAGCCACGACUAAUGCCGAUUUUCCACGUGUAAAAUUCUCAUUGGCCGAUGAAACCACGUGUCAGCUCCACGUUGGCACAGGUGUCACUCAUCCAAUGGGCGAGAUGCGCCUAUGAUAUGUUGACACGUGGACCGGACCAAAAGUGGCCCAUAAAGAUUAAAUGGGCCGACCCAACUAAAGGCCCACAAGAUUUUGUGGACCAUAACGGGCUGGCCCAUCUAAAGGCCCACAAGAUUUUGCGGACCAUAAUGGGCCGGCCCAGCUAAAGGCCCACGAGAUUUUGCGGACCAUAAUGGGCCGGCCUAGCUAAGGGCCCACAAGAUUUUGCGGACGAUAAUGGGCCGACACAACUAAAGGCCCACAAGAUUUUGCGGACCAUAAUGGGCCGGCCCAGCUAAAGGCCCACGAGAUUUCACCGACCAUAAUGGUCCGGCCUAGCUAAAGGCCCACAAGAUUUUGAGGACACUAGUGGGCCGACCCAUUAACAUGCUGCCAUGUUUUGGGAUUUUGAGGACACUAGUGGGCCGACCCAUUAACAUGCUGCCAUGUUUUGGGCCAAAUGCCGGCCCAUAUUUGACCCGGUCCAUUAACAACCUGCCACGUUCCGGGAAUAAUAAAGGCCCAUAUGAUAUCCGACCCGUUAAAAGCCUACCAUGUUCUGGGCCAAAUUACGGCCCAGAUCAGAUCCGGCCCUUUAAGAGGCUCUGGGCUAAAUUAUGGCCCAUAUCAGAUUCAGCCCGUCAACUAGACACUAUGCUUCUAGGCCCACUUGCUAAAGGCCGAUUUAGUAAUUCGGCCUGAUAUUAGUUUCGGCCUGUUAAAGGCCCGUUUAACAUUUUGGCCCUAUAUUUAUUUCGGCCUGUUAAAAGCCCGUCAUAUAGUUGGGCCUAAAUACGGCCCGGUUUGCAUCCGGCCUACUCAUAGCUGAUAAUCUGAUUGGGCCAAACAAGGACCGAGACAAUUUUGGCCUAUUAAUGGCCCGUGAUGUGAUUGGCACAAUCAUGGGUCGAGGUCUAUUUCGGCCUGCUGCCGGCCCGUGAGCUGUUCGGCACGUUUCAGGCCCAACCUACUUUUCACCCUCCUAAAAGCCCAUUGAGCUUUCUUGCGAAAUAGGGCCAGCGGUUUACUCGGCCUAUUAAAGGCCCAAAUCUACUAGUGGGCCAGUUUACAUUUAGGCCUGUUAACGGACCAAGAUGAUGGGGCCCAUGAUGCGGAUCAUACAUAGUGAUUUGCAUGACAACCCGAUUAUGUACCAUAAUUUUACGGUUUGGCCGGUUUACUGCGAAGACAGGAUAUAUAUACAGUAAAAUAACUGCAACAUCGUGAAUAAGAAAAAAAACCUAGACUAUACAAUAAAGAAAUUACGGCAUAUUACAUCCACUAGGCAUCAAAGUUCACCACUAUGAUAAUAAAGCACAAGCAGACAACAGAUUACAUACACUAGGCAUCAAAGAUUGCCACCAGUGCAAAUAAACACGCUAACAAAAUAAUAUACAAAACCGACAUCUCUUCAAUAGAGUUCAAGAAAGGUUAGCCCUGCUCGGGAUCUGCAGCACAAGCAUCUGAGCAAGCUACUGAGACUGCACUUGUUUGCCACUUAUAUCCUCCUCACUCUGAAAGAUAAACAAGCAGACAGAUGACAUAUUUUGCACAUAUAAGUAUCAGUGCUGACAAUUCAUCACAUUUCUUACUGACGAAUAAAGUGACAUAGUUUAAAAUAGCAUUAACACAAUAUGGUAUUGUUCAGGUCAAGACAUGGUAGGAAAUGACAUUGUGAAGGAGUUGGCAGCUUCACGACACCACUGGAUUACAGAUCAAGAACUCAUAAGUAUCAAUGGUUAGUGUACUGUGAAGUUAUCCCAUUUCAGAUUGGCAAAUAAAGAGAUGGUUUAAAUAAUAGUAGAAUGAUAUGACAUUGUUUAUAGUUAAGACAUUGUAGAAUAUGACAUUGUGCUAUAGUGGGUAGGUUCACCACACCACUGGAUUACAGAUCAAGAAAAGAAGCAUACAUGAAGUGCAAAAGAAGAUCACUUGCUCUGUAUAGUUUAAUUUACAUGCUAUGAAGAAGGAACUUGGUUGUACAACUGAAAACUUAAAUUGAGAAGGACAAACUUUUGUUUAUGAACUACAUAAUAAACUUUAAACAUGCAAUUUGAUGCAAACACCAAAAAUAAACAGCUGUUGCAGUCAUGCCUAACCAAAUAUACACAACAAAGUUUGAAGGCUUGAGAAGGACAAACUUACAUUAUUGAUGAAGACAAGCUCUAUAAAGCCCUUGUCCGUGAUGAUGGGGGGGGGCAAUUCAAGAAGUUUACCACAUAAUCUUCUUCAUAAGCAUUGCCUUUAUUCUACAUUUUGUUAAGAGUAAAUAUAGAUGUGAUAAUAUACGAAAAAAGGAAAAUAUUUAAUAUAAUAAAAUUACAAAAGAAAUCCCACUUAGACUGACAUCUCUCUAGUCAUCUAAGUGAUCACGUGAUCCAAAUCAACUAAACCAUGUCCGAUCAUCACGUGAGAUGGAGUAGUUUUCAAUGGUGAACAUCACUAUGUUGAUCAUAUCUACUAUAUGAUUCACGUUCGACCUUUCGGUCUCCGUGUUCCGAGGCCAUAUCUGUAUAUGCUAGGCUCGUCAAGUUUGACCUGAGUAUUCCGUGUGUGCAACUGUUUUGCACCCGCUGUAUUUGAACGUAGAGCCUAUCACACACGAUCAUCACAUGGUGUCUCAGCACGAAGAACUUUCGCAAUGGUGCAUACUCAGGGAGAACACUUCUUGAUAAUUAGUGAGAGAUCAUCUUAAAAUGCUACCAUCAAUCAAAGCAAGAUAAGAUGCAUAAAGGAUAAACAUCACAUGCAAUCAAUAUAAGUGAUAUGAUAUGGCCAUCAUCAUCUUGUGCUUGUGAUCUCCAUCUCCGAAGCACCAUCGUGAUCACCAUCGUCACCGGCGCGACACCUUGAUCUCCAUCAUAGAAUCGUUGUCCUUUCGCCAUCUAUUGCUUCUACGACUAUCGCUACCGCUUAGUGAUAAAGUAAAGCAAUUACAGGGCGUUUGCAUUUCAUACAAUAAAGCGACAACCAUAUGGCUCCUGCCAGUUACCGAUAACUUCGGUUACAAAACAUGAUCAUCUCAUACAAUAAAAUAUAGCAUCACGUCUUGACCAUAUCACAUCACAACAUGCCCUGCAAAAACAAGUUAGACGUCCUCUACUUUGUUGUUGCAAAUUUUACGUGGCUGCUACGGGCUGAGCAAGAACCGUUCUUACCUACGCAUCAAAACCACAACGAUAGUUCGUCAAGUUAGUGCUGUUUUAACCUUCUCAAGGACCGGGCGUAGCCACACUCGGUUCAACUAAAGUUGGAGAAACUGACACCCGCCAGCCACCUGUGUGCAAAGCACGUCGGUAGAACCAGUCUCGCGUAAGCGUACGCGUAAUGUCGGUCCGAGCCGCUUCAUCCAACAAUACCGCCGAACCAAAGUAUGACAUGCUGGUAAGCAGUAUGACUUGUAUCGCCCACAACUCACUUGUGUUCUACUCGUGCAUAUAACAUCAAUGCAUAAAACCUAGGCUCGGAUGCCACUGUUGGGGAAUGUAGUAAUUUCAAAAAUUUUCCUACGCACACGCAAGAUCAUGGUGAUGCAUAGCAACGAGAGGGGAGAGUGUGUCCACGUACCCUCGUAGACCGAAAGCGGAAGCGUUAGAAGAACACGGUUGAUGUAGUCGUACGUCUUCAUGGCCCGACCGAUCAAGUACCGAAACUACGACACCUCCGAGUUCUAGCACUCGUUCAGCUCGAUGACGUCCCUCAAACUCCGAUCCAGCCGAGUGUCGAGGGAGAGUUCCGUCAGCACGACGGCGUGGUGACGAUCUUGAUGUUCUACCGUCACAGUGCUUCGCCUAAGCACCGCUACAAUAUUACCGAGGAGGACUAUGGUGGGGGGCACCGCGCACGGCUAAGAGAUCAAUGAUCAAUUGUUGUGUCUAGAGGUGCUCCCUGCCCUCGUAUAUAAAGGAGCAAGGGGGAGGGGGUCGGCCGGCCAGGAGGGGCGUGCUAGGAGGAGUCCUCCUCCCACCGGGAGUUGGACUCCCUCCCUUCCUUGUUGGAGUAGGAGAGGAGAGGGAAGGAGANNNNNNNNNNNNNNNNNNNNNNNNNNNNNNNNNNNNNNNNNNNNNNNNNNNNNNNNNNNNNNNNNNNNNNNNNNNNNNNNNNNNNNNNNNNNNNNNNNNNNNNNNNNNNNNNNNNNNNNNNNNNNNNNNNNNNNNNNNNNNNNNNNNNNNNNNNNNNNNNNNNNNNNNNNNNNNNNNNNNNNNNNNNNNNNNNNNNNNNNNNNNNNNNNNNNNNNNNNNNNNNNNNNNNNNNNNNNNNNNNNNNNNNNNNNNNNNNNNNNNNNNNNNNNNNNNNNNNNNNNNNNNNNNNNNNNNNNNNNNNNNNNNNNNNNNNNNNNNNNNNNNNNNNNNNNNNNNNNNNNNNGGUAUAUAUCCAAUAACCCCCAAAACCAUUCCGGUGUCCGAAUAUAGUCAUCCAAUAUAUUAAUCUUCAUGUCUCGACCAUUUCGAGACUCAUCAUCAUGUCCGUAAUCACAUUCGGGACUCCGAACAAACUUCGGUACAUCAAAACUCAUAAACUCAUAAUAUAACUGUCAUCGAAACCUUAAGUGUGCGGACCCUACGAGUUCGAGAACUAUGUAGACAUGACCAAGAACAAUUUCCAGUCAAUAACCAAUAGCGGAACCUGGAUGCUCAUAUUGGCUCCUACAUAUUCUAUGAAGAUCUUUAUCGGUCAAACCGCAUAACAACAUACAUUGUUCCCUUUGUCAUCGGUAUGUUACUUGCCCGAGAUUUGAUCUACGGUAUCUCAAUACCUAGUUCAAUCUCGUUACCGGCAAGUCUCUUUACUCGUUACGUAAUGCAUCAUUCCGUAACUAACUCAUUAGCUACAUUGCUUGCAAGUCUUAUAGUGAUGUGCAUUACCAAGAGGGCCCAGAGAUACCUCUCCGACAAUCGGAGUGACAAAUCCUAAUCUCGAAAUACGCCAACCCAACAUGUACCUUCGGAGACACCUGUAGAGCUCCUUUAUAAUCACCCAGUUAUGUUGUGAUGUUUGGUAUCACAUAAAGUGUUCCUCCGGUAAACGGGAGUUGCAUAAUAUCAUAGUUGUAGGAACAUGUAUAAGUCAUGAAGAAAGCAAUAGCAACAUACUAAACGAUCAAGUGCUAAGCUAACGGAAUGGGUCAAGUCAAUCACAUCAUUCUCCUAAUGAUGUGAUCCCAUUAAUCAAAUGACAACUCAUGUCUAUGGUUAGGAAACAUAACCAUCUUUGAUUAAUGAGCUAGUCAAGUAGAGGCAUACUAGUGACUUUAAGUUUGUCUAUGUAUUCACACAUGUAUUAUGUUUCCGGUUAAUACAAUUAUAACAUGAAUAAUAAACAUUUGUCAUGAUAUGAGGAAAUAAAUAAUAACUUUAUUAUUGCCUCUAGGGCAUAUUUCCUUCAGGUGAUCCUCCAGCGACUCCGGCACAGUGAACGUGUAGCACGUCUCAUACUUGAUGUUCUUCGCCAAGGGCCGCCGCACGCCUGCGUGAGGUGAUGCACGAUCUCCGCCAGUGAUCCCCAAAACGGCAUGGGCACUCAUAGUAGUAGACGAAGGGCUCCUUGGAGGCAUCGACCAGGCCGUCCAUGAAACAGGAGUGGCUGUAGGGGACGUUGCGCCAGUUGAAUAUAUGAGCAACUUACUACGAGAUUUAGUCCGAAUAAGCACAAAAUAAAUCAUGAUGGCUAUAACAGAGAUUAAACUAAUCAUGUGGACUAGCAUAGUAGAUGAAUAGAUAGAAUCUAGGAUACAGACUAGAAACAUGAAUUCUACCACGAUUUCGAACAGGCAGGUGAUAAUCACCAAGUGAAGGGAAUCAUUGUAGCAAUUUCCAAAGGUGGAAGUGAUAAGUAUGGAGUGUCGAACCCACAAGGAGCUAAAGGUAAGAUCAAUAUUCUCUCAAGCCCUAUCUGCCACUGAUACGACUCUAUGUACACCGAACGUUUGCUUCCAACUAGAAACAAGAAAUAAAACUAUGUUGUGGGUAUGAAGAGGAUAACUUUGUAUGAUAUCAGAGAGCUAGAAUAUAAAAGUAGGUCUGUUAUCAUAAAGUUAGAAUAUAUUACUAAAUAAUAUAAAUAGCGAGUGUGGAAUAAUGAUGGAUCGGUGUGCGGAAUUGUCCUAGGCAAUUGUUAACAAGAUCGAUAGUCGUCAUUGCAAUUUCAUAUGAGGGAGAGGCAUAAGCUAACAUACUUUCCCUACUUGGAUCAUAUGCACUUAUGAUUGGAACUCUAGCAAGCAUCCGCAACCACUAAAGAUCAUUAAGGUAAAACCCAACCAUAGCAUUAAAUCAUCAAGUCUCCUUUCUCCCAUACGCAACAACUCCCUUACUCGGGUUUGUGUUUCAGCCACUCACGCAACCCACUAUAAGGGAAUCAUGCACGUAUUCCAACACCCUACAACGGGAAUCCCUCAUGCUUGCGCAACACGGAGGGCACCAUAGGACAACACCAAAAUAAAACAUACAAAUUGUACCAAUCUAGACCAUCAAUCAACCCAAGGGCAAAAGAUAUCUACUCAAAACAUCAUAGGAUGGCAACACAUGAUUGGAUCAUAAUAUGUAGCAUAAAGCACUAUGUUUGAGUAGGGAUUACAGCGGGGUGCGGGAGAGUGGACCGCGUAAAAGAGAUGAGGAUGGUGAUGUUGAUGAAGACGAUCACCACGGCGAUGAUUCCCCUCCCGAUGGCACUCCGGUGCCACCAAAAGAGAGGAGGAGAGGUUCUCCCCCUUGUGCUUCCUCCUCCAUGGCUUUCCCCCUCUGGUCCUUGGCCUUCAUGGCGAUGAUGGCCCCUCCGAGAUCCUCCUCCAUGGCCUCCAAUGAUGAUGGCCCCCUCCGGCAGGGUGCCAGAGAGGGCCUAGAUUGAUUUCUCGUGGCUACAGAGGCUUGCGGCGGCGGAACUUCCGAUCUAGGUUAUUUCCCCAAGGUUUCUGUAUUUAUAGGAAUAUUUGGCGUUGGUUUCACGUCAGGGGGGUCUCCGUGCUAUCCACGAGAUAGGGGGGCGUGCCCUAGGGGGGGGGGGCGCCCCCACUCUCGUGGGCAGCCUGGGACUCUUCUGGCCCAACUCCGAUGCUCCAUGGUCUUCUUUUGGUCCAUAAAAAAUCCUCAAAAAUUGGCACGCCAAUUGGACUCCGUUUGGUAUCCCUUUUCUGUAAAACACAAAAACAAGGAGAAAACAGAAACUGGCACUGGGCUCUAGGUUAAUAGGUUAGUCCCAAAAAUCAUAUAAAAUGACAUAUAAAUGCAUAUAAAACAUCAUAGAUGGAUAAUAUAAUAGCAUGAAUACUUCAUAAAUUAUAGAUACGCUGGAGACAUAUCAGCAUCCCCAAGCUUAAUUCCUGCUCAUCCUUGAGUAGGUAAAUGAUAAAAGAAAUAAUUUAUGAAGUGUGAAUGCUAGCAGGUGCACAAGUUUGAUCAAUGAUAAUUUCAAUCACCUUUUCUAGCAUCAAUCUAUGUCAUAAUAAUAGCUUAUCUCAUAAAACUUUUCAUGAUCAAGUAACAAUCUAUUCACAAUGUCAAGUAUGGUUCAAAAACUUCAUUGAGAACUAACAAACUAUAAUCUCAGUCAUUGAAGCAAUUGCAAUUUAUCAUAACAUCAGAAAGAGUCAAGAAUAGAGCUUUUCAGCAAGUCCACAUACUCAACUAUCAUAUAGUCUUCUACAAUUGCUAACACUCACGCAAUACUUGUGGUUAAGGAGUUUCAGGUGGACACUGAGAAAGAUAGGGGCUUAUUGUGUUGCCUCCCAACAUAUUCACCUUUAGGUGAUAUCAACAAUAAUAGCCCAUGCUAACUUACAUCCAAUUAGAUAUAUAUAUAUAUCAUGAUCUUUCAAACACGAGGAGCUUGCCAAAGGAUAAAAUGAAAAAGGGAAAGGUGAGGAUCACCUUGACUCAAGCAUAAAGUAAAAACAUAAAUUAAAAGAUAGGCCCUUCGCAGAGGGAAGCAGAGGUUGUCAUGCGCUUUUAGGGUUUGAUACACAAAAACUUAAUGUGAAAGAACGUCACUUUAUAUUGCCCCUUGUAUGUGGACCUUUAUUAUGCAGUCCGUCGCUUUUAUUACUUCCACAACAAGAUCGUACAAAGCUUAUUUUCUCCACAUUAAUAAGUUAUGCAUAUUUAAAGAGCAAUUUUUAUUGCUUGCACCGAUGACAACUUACUUGAAGGAUCUUACUCAAUCCAUAGGUAGGUAUGGUGGACUCUCGUGGCAAAACUGGGUUUAAGGAUAUUUGGAAGCACAAGUAGUAUCUCUACUUGGUGCAAGGAAUUUGGUUAGCAUGAGGGGGAUAGGCAAGCUCAACAUAUUUUGAAGGUCAAUGACAAUAUACUUUAACUGAGAUGUGAGAAAACACAAAUCAUUACGUUGUCUUCCUUGUCCAACGUCAACUCUUUUAGCAUGUCAUACUUAAUGAGUGCUCCCAAUCAUAAAAUAUGUCCAAGAUAAUAUAUUUGUAUGUGAACCUCUCUUUCCUUAUUACUUCCUAUUAAUUGCAACGAUGACCAAAACUACGUUUGCCAACUCUCAACAACUUUUAUGCCUCAUACUCUUUAUAUGUGAAGUCAUUACUAUCCAUGUUAUAAGCAUAUGAAAACAUAUAGAAAUUCAGAUUCAUGACAUUCAAUUCAUUCCCCCAUUUACUCAUAGGAUAAACAUGAAGCACAUGAGUAAAUGACAAACUACUCCAAACGAUAUGAGUGAAAGACACUGAGUAGUCAAACAAUUAACUAGCCAUGGGAGGGUUCCUUUUUUAUUCAAUAAUCAGAUCCAAUGAUUUUAUUCAAACAGCAAGUAAAAUCAAAAACACGCUCCAAGCAAAACACAUAUCAUGUGACGAAUAAAAAUAUAGGUCCGAGUAAGAUGUACCGAUAGUUUUGAAGAUGAAAGAGGGGAUGCCUUCCGGGGCAUCCCCAAGCUUAGGCGCUUGAUUCUUCCUUGAAUAUUACCUUGGGGUGCCUUGGGCAUCCCCAAGCUUAGGGUCUUUCCACUCCUUAUUCUCCUCACAUCGAUAUCUCACCCAAACUUGAAAAUUUCAAUCACACAAAACUUAACCAAACUUCGUGAGAUAGGUUAGUAUGAUAAAGAGUAAACCAUGCACUUGGGUACUGUAAAAGACAAGGUUCAUAAUUUUUUUCACAUAAUUCCUACUAUAAAAUAUCAUUUCUACAAUUUAUAUUGGGAAAUAUAAGCCAUAGAAACUAGAAAACAAGCAAACUAUGCAGUGAAAACAGAAUCUGUCAAAAACAGAGCAGUCUGUAAUGAUCUGAACAAUAACCAUACUUCUUCUACUCCAAAAAUUAUGAAAUAAAUUGGUGGACGUGAGGAAUUUGUCUACUAAUCUUCUUCAAAAAUAAUCAACUCAAAAUCACACUUCUUUAAAAAAUGACAGCUAAUCUCAUGAGCGCAAAGUUUCUGUUUACAGCAAGAUCACAUUAACUCUCACCCAAGUCUUCCCAAAAGGUCUUACUUGGCCCUUUAUUGAAACAAAAGCUAUAAAACAUGAUUAAUACAGUAGAUUAAUCAUGUAGACACACAAAAACAAUAAGGAUAAAUAUUGGGUUGUCUCCCAACAAGCACUUUUCUUUAAUGCCUUUUAGCUAGGCAUGAUGAUUUCAAUGAUGCUCGCAUAAAAGAAAAGAGUUGGAACACAAAGAGAGCAUCAUGAAGAAUAUGACUAGCACAUUUAAAUCUAUCUCACUUCCUAUGCCUAGGGAUUUUGUGAGCACACAAUUUAUAGGAGCAAAAGUCAACUAGCAUAGGAAGGCAAAACAAGUAUAACUUCAAAACUUUAAGCACAUAGAAAGGAAACUUGAUAUUAUUGCAACUCGUACAAGCACAUAUUCCUCCCUAAUAAUAAUUUUCAGUAGAAUCAUGGAUAGCAACUUUGUUCUCAUACUCAAUUGGAACCUCUUCCAAAAUAGUGGAAUACUAACUAAAGUUGACACUCUUCCAAAUCCACUUUCAUAAAUAUAGUACGAAGAUUCAACACCCUCCAAGAUAGUGGGAUCAUUAAUUCCUAAAGUUGACACUCUUCCAAACCCACUUUAAAUUAUAGUAUUAUUCAUACUCCAAAAGAUAUAAGUGAAGUUCCUGGAGCAUUCUACAAUUAAUAUAGACUGGCCAAUAUCCAAGCUCAAAAUAUAUAAGUGAAGCGUACGAAGCAUUCUAUAAAACCAUACUCAAUCGAUUUAAGUGAAACACAAAGAGCAAUUCUAUAAGAUCAUACUUAAAAUAUAUAAGUGAAGCACAUUAAUUAUUCUAUAAAUCAAAGAAGAGCUAUCUCAUACUAGCGUGAUUCUUAAAGAAAAAUAAAAACACAGGACACAAAUCAUGUGAACAAAAUAAAAACCGAGGUAUACCGAUAUUUGUUGAAGAAGAAAGAUGGGAUGCCAACCGGCGCAUCCCCAAGCUUAGAUGCUUGAGUAUCCUUUGAAAUAUUUACUUGGGGUGCCUUGGACAUCCCCAAGCUUGAACUCUUGUCUCACUUUAUUCUUCUCACAUCGGUAACUCCUCGUUCUUCAAACACUUCAUUCACAAAAACUUAAACAAAAACUUGUGAGAUCCGUUAGUGUAAUAAAGCAAACUACCACUUUAUGGUACUGUAAUUAACUCAUUCUUUAUUUAUAUUGGUGUUAAACCUACUGUAUUCCAACUUCUCUAUGGUUCAUACCCUUACAUACUAGCCAUAGAUGCAUCAAAAUAAGCAAACAACACACGAAAGACAGAAUCUGUCAAGAACAGGACAGUCUGUAGUAAUAUGGAAGUUUAGUAAACUUCUGUAACUCCAAAAAUUAUGAAAUACAUUUUAAAAUUUGAACAAUUUGUACAGAAGUAAUUUGCAAAAAGUUUCAGAUCCAUUUGACUUUCCAGUAAAAAACUUAAAUUCAAGCACUACAGCCAAAGUUUCUGUUUUUGUUCUACACAUAGUAAGCAAGCAAUCUUAUCCCAUACGCAACAACCCCCUUACUCGGGUUUGUGUUUCAGUCACUCACGCAACCCACUAUAAGCGAAUCAUGCACGUAUUCCAACACCCUACAACGGGAAUCCCUCACGCUUGCGCGACACAGAGGGCACCAUAGGACAACACCAAAAUAAAACAUACAACUCGUACCAAUCUAGACCAUCAAUCAACCCAAGGACAAAAGAUAUCUACUCAAAACAUCAUAGGAUGGCAACACAUCAUUGGAUCAUAAUAUGUAGCAUAAAGCACUAUGUUCGAGUAGGGAUUACAGCGGGGUGCGGGAGAGUGGACCGCGUAAAAUAGAUGAGGAUGGUGAUGAUGAUGGUGAUGUUGAUGAAGACGAUCACCGCAAUGAUGAUUCCCCUCCCGAUGGCACUCCGGUGCCACCAAGAGAGAGGAGGAGAGGUUCUCCCCCUUUUGCUUCCUCCUCCACGGCUUUCCCCCUCUGGUCCUUGGCCUUCAUGGCGAUGAUGGCCCCUCCGCGAUCCUCCUCCAUGGCCUCCGAUGAUGAUGGCACCCUCCGGCAGGGUGCCGGAGAGGGCCUAGAUUGAUUUCUCAUGGCUACAGAGGCUUGCGGUGGCGGAACUUCCGAUCUAGGUUAUUUCCCUAAGGUUUUUGUAUUUAUAGGAAUAUUUGGUGUUGGUUUCACGUCAGGGGGGUCUCCGGGCUGUCCACGAGAUAGGGGGGCGUGCCCGGGGGGGGGGGGGGCGCCCCCCCUCUCGUGGGCAGCCCAGGACUCUUCUGGCCCAACUCCGAUGCUCUGUGGUCUUCUUUUGGUCCAUAAAAAAUCCUCAAAAAUUAGCACAUCAAUUGGACUCCAUUUGGUAUCCCUUUUCUGUAAAACACAAAAACAAGGAGAAAACAAAAAGUAGCACUAGGCUCUAGGUUAAUAGGUUAGUCCCAAAAAUCAUAUAAAAUGACAUAUAAAUGCAUAUAAAACAUCAUAGAUGGAUAAUAUAAUAGCAUGAAUACUUCAUAAAUUAUAGAUAUGUUGGAGACGUAUCAGCAUGACAGAAACACAUACGGUGCAACAGGAGCAGCACCGUUGGCGUUGAUGUUGUCGCCCAUGUCGUUGAGGAAGAGGUUGCCGAGGUCGGCGAAGAAGUCAUCGUCGGUGAAGUAGUCGCUCACAGCAGUCGCGAGAGUGCGCUCCCCAAAUUUCAACAACGCCCGCCGAAUGGAGCGCAGGAGGGAUUGGCUGUAGAGGACGUUGCGGCCACCGAAUGGAACGAGGGUGUAGCACACGAGCAGUAGAUGGUGCUUCUCCCUAAGUCUCUAUCUCUACUCUUAUCUCUAUCUCUACUACUCUUCUUUGUUUUUAUAACAAAUCGAAUAGUACUGUGUCAUCCGCUGCACGCCCGACUAAACAUGCCUGCUCGCCUCCAUCAUCACCAACUGAGUCUUUUAUAGGAGUAGGAGUAGAGAAAAAACCGAGUUGGUGAUGAUGGUGUGCCUGCCAUCUUUUAAUAUAGACUGUCCGAUCUAUAUCUAACGGAUAGAAAGCGAACUAUGACAAUUUUACAAAAGAUACCCGCACCUCUCUCCACAUUUACAGAUAAGGCCUUGCCUCGUUCAUCCUUAUCUCGCACAACCUCAUUGCUGAGCAAUUAAAAAAUGAAGUCUCUGGAACAAUUUGGCAUGGUGUCCACUGCCGGCGCCGUCCAUCCCCAUGCCUCCGCCCAGUCCGACCACCAGUCACCACCACGCCCCACUCAAGAUAUCAUUUUUCGAUAGAAUUCUUGAGAUGUCAUUAGUUUUUACACAUGGGAUUACUCUUGCAUGGGUCAAUCACAACAGGUGUUCUGUAAAAAAAAUGCAUCGUGAUGUUUCAUGCAAUGCACGGGCAUCUUGCUAUUUUUUGCAUAUAAUUCCAAACACCACGUAGACACGGUCUUUGACCAUUUUACAACUAUAUUAGUAUCAUUGUGAGUGGUCAGCCGGUGCAAGUUAUAGCCUCGAGUGUUUUAACCUUUUCUUAGUAAUGAUAUCCGGCGAUUGUUCACCACGAGCUCAAUCCUGGCGAAUCCCAUGUAACCGUUGACGGAGUCCUAGAUUAUGGGGUCCUUGGAGAGCCGACCUAUGUGACAUGGGCCGGACUGGCGGGCCAUGAAGAUACAGAACUGAAGGCCUUCUCCCGUGUAUGGAUGUGACUCUCCUUUGUGUGGACGGCAAGCUUGGCGUCUGUAUGUGUAGUUUCCUUCCUCUGUAAACCGACUUUGUACACCCCUAGUCCCCUCCGGUGCCUAUAUAAACCGGAGGGUUUAGUCCUUAGGGACAAUCACAAUCAUGCAUGCUAGACAUCUAGGUUUUAGCCAUUACGAUCUCAAGGUAGAUCAACUCUUGUAACCCAUAUACUCAUCAAAGUCAAUCAAGAAGGAAGUAGGGUAUUACCUCCAUUAAGAGGGCCCGAACUUGGGUAAACAUCGUGUCCCCCGCCUCUUGUUACCUUCGAUCCUUAGACGCAUAGUUCGGGACCCCCUAUCCGAGAUCUGCAGGUUUUGACACCAACAUUGGUGCUUUCAUUGAGAGUUCCUCUGUGUCUUCGACAGAAGGAUUGAUGGCUCGCCUUGUCAUCAAGGACAACAUCACUUCCGGAGAAGCCCUAGCUUUAGGGAAAAACCCUCCGGCUCAGCAGCUUCAUCAUGGGCACUCGCCCGACCGUUAAGCCAGAAGCAGCCCAACUCAUCGCCAAAUACCGCCUCCGCAUCGGCCUUGAAUAUUCCGACAAGAUGGAUCCGGCAGACAUUUCGGCCUUAAACGAACUGCUGGAUUGCAUCGCCGCCCUAGGGGUCACAACCGACUAUGAUCAGAUUGGGCUUAAACCCGAUCAGAGAGAAAUCAGAUCUCCGCCGAUCACCCAUCAUGUGGCAAUCGUGGAGGAACAAACCAAUAAUGACUCUUAUCCUACAUUGAGAACAAAGUAUGUUUGGGUUGUGAGCUUGGAGAACCGGACUCCCGUCUUCUGGAAGACACUUAUUGUCCUCCAAACACGGAGUCCGGCGUAGAGCCCAAAAAUGCACCGGACGCUAUGGAGCCCAGGCCUGUAACCUCGGAAAUUCUUCAGAAUCCGGAUUUCUCAGUAGGUCAGGGCUCGGAUUUGAACCCACCCACCCACCACAAGCAAUAUUCCCCAAGCAACUCCGGUCCUCCGAACAUAUGCGACUUAAUUUAUGUAUGGCAACAGUCUCAGGAAACAGUACACCACUUCUGGGCUAGAUUCCUACUUGUUAAAAACAAGGUCAAGGAUUGCUGCGAGGAUGACGCGAUCUCGGUAUUUUGCAACAAUUACACGGAUGAGGGAAUCCUUAAUGCCCUCAACUGCCGUCGUGUACUACACUUUUCCGAUUUUGCACACAUAGUACAGAAGUACUACGCAAUGGAAAGCGCCUAGAAAACCCAGACAGCCCGCUGGGAACGGCAUGCCUUUAGGCCAUCCCCUGGGCAGGCAAAUAGGAUGCACCCCCGCGGAGCACCCUAUCAUCAUCCCGUGGAUAAGAAAAUUAAACCCGUCAUGGGGCAUAGAACUGUCCUGGAGGAAUGGCUCGACAAGCCCUGUAAAAUUCACAUGACGACGGACAAAGAACCAACGCAUAGCCUUCGAGCAUGUUGGAUACUCCGGUAUGUGACCAAGAGCGACGAGGGUAUCCUCACCAACAACACUCCAGAAAACUAGUCUUUGGAGGACAAUGAUCCCAAAGUAUUCACGGUCUUUGAGACCUUUUCUUCAAAUAAUCAUCACAAAAGGGCACUCCCUGACCUCGCCGAAGUUUGCCAUGUGGCAACAGUAAAUCCUUGGAACAACACGGCGAUCACUUUCAACGCCGAUGAUGAACCAAGAGCUCGCUCAGUCCGGGCACCAGCCGCUUUGGUCCUAAACCCAAUCCUAGAUGGUUUUCGGCUCACUAAAGUGCACAUGGAUGGCGGUAGCGGACUGAACCUCAUCUACGAGGACGCGCUCAAUAAAAUGCAAAUGGACAGGAGUCACAUUGAGCAAAGUAACACAACCUUUCGCGGUAUUAUCCCUAGUUGAGAAGCCAGAUGCUCGGGAAAAAUCAAACUUGAUGUGGUAUUCGGCACGCCGGAGAACUACAAGUCCAAAUAAUUACUCUUCCAUGUGGCACCAUUCAACAACGGUUAUCAUGCUUUGCUGGGGCGAGACACAUUCACACGCUUCCGAACCAUACCCCAUUACAGGUAUAUGAAGCUCAAAAUGUCCGGGCCCAAUGGAAUUGUCACUAUCACCAGUGAUCCGGACAUAACACUCCGCACCCAAAACAAAACUGCCUCUCUGGCCCUUGAGGCAUUAUCCGAGGUCCUCGCGGCCAAGGAAUUGACCACUCUACAUUCUAAAGUAGACAGGGACGAUGUAAUCCUCGACAAGAGACCCAAAUCUACUUCCUUCAAGCCAACAGCCGAAAUAAUCAAAUUUCAGGUCCACCCGACGGACCCCAAGAAAACAGCUUCCAUUGGGGCACAUCUGGAUCCGACGGUGGACGCCACAUUACGCACAUUCCUGUGUGAGAACUGGGACAUUUUUGCCCGGCACCCUUCGGAUAUGCCAGCUAUCCCAUGAAGACUGCCCGAGCAUAGUCUCAAUAUACUGAAAGGAUACAAACUAGUCAAACAAACUCUGCGCCGAUUUUUUGAACCCAAAUGACAGGCUAUGGGGGAGGAGCUAGCCAAGCUACUCGAAGCCGGGUUUAUUAGAGAGAUCAAACAUCUGGACUGGCUAGCAAACCUGGUCAUGGUACCUAAGAAGGAUAAAUCUGGCGCCUGUGUGUCGAUUUCCAAGACCUUAACAAGGCUUGCCCUAAGGACCCCUUCCCACUACCUCGUAUCGACCAGAUUAUUAACGCAACCGCAGGGCACGAUUCCUUGUGCUUCCUCGAUGCAUAUUCCAAAUAUCAUCAAAUUAAGAUGAAAGAAUCCGACCAAGCCGCAACGACAUUCAUCACUCCGUAUGGGCCCUUCUACUUCAACACUAUGCCUUUCGGGCUCAAGAACGCCAGCGCAACCUACCAACGCAUGAUUCAAACAUGCCUUGAAAAACAAAUCGGCAAAACUGUGGAGGCAUAUGUAGAUGACAUAGUCAUCAAAACCAAACAUGUCGAUUCAUUGGUGGAUGACUUAUGCCUUACAUUUGACAACCUCCGAGCAUAUGACAUAUGGCUCAAUCCCGAAAAAUGCGUUUUCGGCGUUCCAGCCAGAAAGCUGCUUGGGUCAUUGUCUCCAAUAGAGGAAUCGAAGCAAACCCCACUAGAAUCCGAGCCCUGUCACAGUUGGCAACACCAACAAACCUCAAGCAGGUCCAAAAAUUAGCUGGGUGCGUGGCAACUUUAAGUUGUUUUAUCUCCAGACUAGGGGAAAAGGCGUUGCCAUUAUAUCGCUUGCUACGCCGCACUGACCACUUCGUGUGGACGGAUGCCGCUACAGCCGGAAUGGAAGAAAUAAAAGCUCUGUUAGCAAGUAACCCAAUCCUGGCCGCACCAAACGUCGGCAAACCGAUGCUGCUCUACAUAUCUGCAACUCAACAGGUAGUGAGUGCGGUGCUCAUCGUUCAACGAGAUGAGGAGGGACAUAAAUUCCCA
rnacentral:lncRNA from 1 species